CCCCAAUCUGACCCCAGCCGCCAAACGAACCCUAGCCCCCUUUCUUCGUCGCCUCAAUCCCUAUAGCCGCUGCACCCCUCCCUGUCCCUUCUGUGCGUGCGCUCGGCCAAGGACGCCGCCGUCGCCCUCGGCUGCUCCUCCACCACCCCGCCUCUUUCUCCUCCUCGCCUUCCCAUCGGUUGCGCUCAGGUCGUCGCCGUCGAUGAAUAGGAUAGUGCGGGCCGCUUCCUCCUUUUCCUCCGGCCGGAUCUAAGGCGUGCGACCGCGGAGGCGAGCCUCUCCGGUGGCAGAGGCAAAGGCGACCACAUGGAUCGAUCCCUGCAGGAGAUAGAAGAUUGGAGAGAGGGAAAGAAGGAAGGAGAGGAGGGGGACCCAGUGGCGGACAGGAGAGGGUCACCAGCCGGCGCCGGCGAGGUCAAGUGCGACCUAAUGGUUGGUGGUGGCUCGAUCCACUCCUGGAUCUUUAUUGUUCCACUUCCCCACUGCCUAACACCGAGCAAGAGGGCUGCCCGAGGAAGAGGGUGAGGACGCAGGGAUUGAAGAGGGUGUUCCCGCGUUCAUCGCCUGGCCAAGUGCAAGGACGAGGACGAGGACGUGGGGUGGAGCAUGUCAUCCCUCUGGUUAUCGCCUUCCUUUCUGCUGCUGGGCUGAGAUGAGGGUUUUCUCCAGCGAUUGUGGUAGCCCGAGUCAGAGAUCGACAGCUAGAUGCUUGUGGCUACCACACAAAAUGUGCUCUCUUGCUGACCUCGAGGUCCGGCCGCAAUUCCUCUUGUUUUUGCUCCAAGGUAUAGAAGAAGGACCUUUGCUUAAUGGUUGAUUUUCUUCUGCUCACGGCAGCUUGCUCGAGGCAAACAUGCAAGCCUGACAUGCACUGAUGGCGCUGCCGGCAGUAUCAAGGAUGGAAACAGCAAGACUCUCUUUUAGGUCAGAGAAACUGGUGGUGCCAAUGAUAACGCCUGAAUCUUCGUGACUGCAGCAGCCACCAUCAUGUUGUAGCUCAGCCAGACCACGACCAUCGAUAGGUGACCAUCUUCAUUGAGGCGAGGGGAGAAGAAAAGGGGCUGUCAGGUCGGACUUUUGGUGCGUCUCUGACCAGAGAUAGCUGGAUCCAUUUGAUGCUCUUCCAAACAGUGCAGUGCAGAUUUGCUGACUGGUAAAAGGAAAAGAGAACAUUGGAGGAAAAGGCAACAGGGCAGAUUCUCUAAGCUUUCUCAAAUGUUUGAAGGAAAAGAUAGUUACAAUUAUUUUUCUCUCGCCUUAUUACAUAUUGAUGUUAAUAGGCGUUGGAAGGUACGAUGGACCACAUUCAAGGUUUACAGAAUUUGCACAAUCCUAUUACAGUUUAUUCUGAUGAAAGAAUUGACCAGUUCUUCCUUGAGUAAAUUAGUAUUGCUGAUGCUACUCCUUUGUGCAUUGUUACAUAGAGUUAUAGUUGUGAAGGUGUGUACGCAUCAACAUAUAAUUCCCACCAUCCUAUUAUAGUUUGUUUUGAUGACAAAUUGUGCAGCUCUUACUUGAGAAAUUGUGCAGAUCUUCC
rnacentral:rRNA from 1 species